rnacentral:rRNA from 2 species
AACGCGAAGAACCUUACCUGGGCUUGAACUACUGGUGGUAAGCCGAUAGAAACAUUGGCUGACCCGCAAGGGAGCCAGCAGAGGUGCUGCAUGGUUGUCGUCAGCUCGUGUCGUGAGAUGUUGGGUUAAGUCCCGCAACGAGCGCAACCCCUAUCUCAUGUUGCUAUUCCCGCAAGGGAAGCACUCUUGAGAAACUGCCUUCGAUAAGAAGGAGGAAGGUGGGGACGACGUCAAAUCCUCAUGGCCCUUAUGUCCAGGGCUACACACGUGUUACAAUGGCCGGUACAAUGGGAAGCAAUACCGCAAGGUGGAGCCAAACCCCAAAGCCGGCCCCAGUUCAGAUUGUGGGCUGCAACCCGCCCACAUGAAGGCGGAAUCGCUAGUAAUCGCUGAUCAGCAGGCAGCGGUGAAUACGUUCCCGGGCCUUGUA